CACGUAGGGCGCAAGCGUUGUCCGGAAUUAUUGGGCGUAAAGAGCUCGUAGGCGGUCUGUCGCGUCGGAUGUGAAAACCCAGGGCUCAACCCUGGGCCUGCAUUCGAUACGGGCAGACUAGAGUACGGCAGGGGAGACUGGAAUUCCUGGUGUAGCGGUGGAAUGCGCAGAUAUCAGGAGGAACACCGAUGGCGAAGGCAGAUCUCUGGGCCGUAACUGACGCUGAGGCGCGAAAGCUAGGGGAGCAAACAGG
rnacentral:rRNA from 1 species